AAAAAAAAAAAAAAAAUUUGAAAAAAAAAUUAUAAAAAUUUCGAAUCUGAAAACAUAUAAUCAGAAACUAUAAAAAAAAAUUUCUUUUUUUCAUUUUUUAUUUUUAUUUUAUUUAUUUUUAUUUAUUUUUGUUUGUUUAUUUAAUUUUAAACCAAGGGUAUUAUGGAUAUUUUACCCUUUAAUGGAUGUCAUUUUUGUGACUUUCUCCUUUUAGUGCUAUUUUUGAGACAUAAACUUCAAAAGGUGGUAUUAUUGACAAUUGCCCUUUAGUUUUAGUCAUACAUUAACUUUUAGUUGAUUGCACACAGAUUUAUUAGUAAGCGAGAAAAUAUAUUUAGUUUAUAAUAUUCUGUAACGCAUGUGAUUUUUAAAAUGUUUCAAAGAGUUAUUUCAUUUUAUAUUAAAGAUUUUUUUCAGUAUAGUAGUUAUCAUGAAUCUUAGUGGGGCUUAUUGGAUUAGGGAUUUCAUAAAAAUUUAGGUUUUUGUCAAAUUAAUGGGAUCAAGCUUAGCAUCUAUUAAUAUUAAAGUUUACUUUUGAAAACAAUAAAUUUAUUCAAUAUAUUUAUUAAUAAAAUUCAAGUAUCAUAUUAAAAAAUCUUACAGUUAUUACUAUUCAAAAAUUAUAUAAACUAGGUCGUGGUCCGCGCUAUGCACGGAUUAUUAGUUUAUAAAAUUUUAGAAUUUAUGAUAUUGUAUGAAUGUGUAUAAGUCGAUGACAAAAAAAAAUCACUCACCCUUAAUACAAAUUGUAUCUGUUGUAAUUGUUAUAUGUUGUUGAGGGUUGUAUUUCACAUAGGAUACUAAGUUGGUUGACCGCAUAUUGAGAGUUUAUUUUGUUCUCUUGUCAAGUUUAUCUAUAAUGUCAAUGGUGUUUUAAAGUAGAAGUGUGUUCUUGGUGUUGAGGCGAACAAUGCACAUAUAAUUGUGAAAUAAAUAAUUAGAUUGUAUUUAAUUUAACUGGGUAAAGAACCCGUGCGGUAUCGCACGGGAACUCAUUUUAUAUAAACAAAUAAAUCAUACUUUAUUUUAUUAUUCUAAAGUUUACCAUUAUGAAUAGUUCCAAAGAUUUAUCAUAGUUGUAAUAAUUCAUCUCUAACGAAUACCAACUCUAAUAGUUCCAAUGGUUUAUACAUAUAUAAUAUUAUAAAAUAACUAAAUUAUCCAAAAUUAGAUUAUCUAAAUAUUUUUAGCCAAUUUAAAUAUUUUUUAAAUGCAUAUAAAAUAGAUAUAAAAAUGAACUAAAAGAUAACUCAUUAACACUUUAUGCCAAUUUUAGGAUAAAAUAUAUAUCCUGAGACAUUUUGAGAAUUCUUUAUAUACUUAUGCAGUUUUUUUAAAAAUAAAAAAAAAACUCAAUAUAAUUUUAUAAAAAUUAUGAUAAAAACGCAUGCUUAUAUUUUUCACACAAUCUCUUAAAACUCAAUAUAAUUUUUAACAUAAAAAGAUACAUCUUAUAAAAAGGCAUCUCUUGCUUGCACCAAAGUUGUUGGAUUUUUAAUCGUAGUCCUUAAAUUUUUUGGAAUUUAUUAAUUUUUAAAAUAUAGUGAGGAAGUAUAUUAAAAUAGGAAAAUAUAAAAUAACUCUAUUCAUUUGGACUUUCUUGUUGAGUUCUUAGUGCUUAUCUAAAACCGAUGGGGCUGUACUUCAUUGACAUAAAGUAGUUGAAAUUUUAGGGAUGUGUUUUCUUAGGCUGUAAGUUGUGUCUUUUCAUUUUUCUAAAUGCAAUGCUACUUAAUAACUUUUAAUUAGUUAAAAUGUGUCUCAUCAUUCUAAAUACGUGUCAAAAAAAAAUCAGCAUUUUUUUUUGCUAUUAUAUAUAGAUAAGUUUUCAUAUUAGUAAUUUAUGAUAAAUUGUUAAUACAUCUUUUACAGAAAUAUUAGUUCGAAAUAAGUAGUCAUAUUAUUAAAAUAAUUAUUAUCACACUUUUUACAAUUUAAGCAUCUUUUACAAAGAAUCUAUUUUAAUUUUAUGAAAGGAUGUUGACAAUUUAAAUAUAGACGACUUGUGUAGAGAUAAAAUUUAACAAAUUGAGACUCUUACAAAUUUUUGGGGGUUUUCAAUCAUUUAGAAAAGCAUUGUUAUGUUUAUGUAAAUAAUUUGUCGAGUCAUAGAGAAAAAAUAAAAAUAUGUUAAUUGGCGUCUCUUCUUCUUCUUUUCUUCUGUUCUACGUAAGAGUUUUUUUCCUAUGGUAAUUUUGUUUUUUUUUAUCGAAAAAACUAUGGUUAAUUUCGUUUCUCAUAACUAUUAUCAUCUCUAUUUUUGUCUGGAGUAUUUGUUGUCAGUUACUAAAUUUUCUCUUUUCAACACUGCCAUGGUUAAUAUGAGAGAUUAUCUGCGUAAACGUGCACAUGAUCUCCAUCCAGUGUUCAAAAUUCAUAACACAAUUAGAAAUUGUGCCUACAAUAUUCAACUAAACAUAUAUACAUUUCCUCUUAAAUGCCAGACCCCAUUAUUCGAUCGUGAAAAGUACCAAGAUGCCAUUGUUAUCCCAUUCUGAUGAUCACUCUCUCCUUCCCUAUCUUCAUCUCCGGCUUUGAUGGGGUUAAAGGAAGUGCCACCAUUGUCGUCACCAGACACCACUACCACAGGAAAGGCGUGCCAUCGAAAGCCACCAUUAUUGGUCUUAUUGGAGUUACGUAAUGGAUUCGAGAGAUGGAGACUUGGAGGAGCGACGAGCAACCGGAGGCACUAUGUUCAUCACAGGGUAAGAUGCUCCAUAACUCUCUUCUUUCUUUCUCUACUUCUCAAAAGCAUUAAAAACCCCAGUAAAAAAUCACCGUAUGGAUUACAAUUAUAUAUCUACAGGUCAAUAAUGAGGCUUUGAGUUCGACUGAAGAGAGAAGAAGAAGGACGUUACGUAGUGCAUUCGAGAGAUGAAAACCUGGAGAAGUGACAAGCAACCGAAGCCGCCAAAUACAUUUUCUUCAUUUCUCUAAUUCUCGAAAAGCCUUAAAAAACGAGUUAUAAAACUCACCGUAUUGAUUCCAAUUUUCAAAAGAUAGAAAAU
rnacentral:lncRNA from 1 species